UACAGAGGGUGCAAGCGUUGUUCGGAAUUAUUGGGCGUAAAGCGCGUGUAGGCGGCUUUGCAAGUCGGGUGUGAAAGCCCUCAGCUCAACUGAGGAAGUGCGCCCGAAACUGCAUGGCUUGAAUACCGGAGAGGAUGGCGGAAUUCCAGGUGUAGCGGUGAAAUGCGUAGAUAUCUGGAGGAACACCGGUGGCGAAAGCGGCAUCCUGGACCGACACUGACGCUGAGGAGCGAAAGCGUGGGGAGCGAACAGG
rnacentral:rRNA from 1 species